rnacentral:rRNA from 1 species
GAUGAACGCUGGCGGCGUGCCUAAUACAUGCAAGUCGAGCGAACGGACGAGAAGCUUGCUUCUCUGAUGUUAGCGGCGGACGGGUGAGUAACACGUGGAUAACCUACCUAUAAGACUGGGAUAACUUCGGGCAACCGGAUCUAAUACCGGAUGAUAUUUUGCACCGCAUGGUUCAAAAGUGAAAGACGGUCUUGCUGUCACUUAUAGAUGGAUCCGCGCUGCAUUAUCUAGUUGGUAAGGUAACGGGUUACCAAGGCAACGAUGCGUAGCCGACCUGAGAGGGUGUUCGGCCACACUGGAACUGAGACACGGUCCAGACUCCUACGGGAGGCAGCAGUAGGGAAUCUUCCGCAAUGGGCGAAAGCCUGACGGAGCCACGUCGCGUGAGUGAUGAAGGUCUUCGGAUCGUAAAACUCUGUUAUUAGGGAAGAACAUAUGUGUAAGUAACCGUGCACAUCUUGACGGUACCUAAUCAGAAAGCCACGGCUAACUACGUG